AGAGUUUGAUUAUGGCUCAGGAUGAACGCUGGCGGCGCGCUUAACACAUGCAAGUCGAACGAAGCACACCUGCGGAAGUUUCGGAUGGAAGCGGGUAUGACUUAGUGGCGGACGGGUGAGUAACGCGUGGGCAACCUGCCGUAUGCAGGGGGACAACAGCUGGAAACGGCUGCUAAUACCGCAUAAGCGCACGGUACCGCAUGGUACAGUGUGAAAAGAUUUAUCGGCAUACGAUGGGCCCGCGUUGGAUUAGGCAGUUGGCGGGGUAACGGCCCACCAAACCGACGAUCCAUAGCCGACCUGAGAGGGUGACCGGCCACAUUGGGACUGAGACACGGCCCAAACUCCUACGGGAGGCAGCAGUGGGGAAUAUUGCACAAUGGGGGAAACCCUGAUGCAGCGACGCCGCGUGAGUGAAGAAGUAUUUCGGUAUGUAAAACUCUAUCAGCAGGGAAGAAGAUGACGGUACCUACACAAGAAGCCCCGGCUAACUACGUGCCAGCCGCGGC
rnacentral:rRNA from 1 species